rnacentral:rRNA from 1 species
UACGUAGGGUGCAAGCGUUGUCCGGAAUUAUUGGGCGUAAAGAGCUCGUAGGCGGUCUGUCGCGUCUGGUGUGAAAACUCAGGGCUUAACCCUGAGCUUGCAUCGGGUACGGGCAGACUAGAGUGCGGUAGGGGAGACUGGAAUUCCUGGUGUAGCGGUGAAAUGCGCAGAUACAGGAGGAACACCGGUGGCGAAGGCGGGUCUCUGGGCAACAACUGACGCUGGAGGAGCGAAAGCGUGGGGACGAACAGGAUUAGAACCUACGGUAGUCA